GGCGUGCCUAUACAUGCAAGUCGAGCGGACCGACGGGAGCUUGCUCCCUUAGGUCAGCGGCGGACGGGUGAGUAACACGUGGGUAACCUGCCUGUAAGACUGGGAUAACUCCGGGAACCGGGGCUAAUACCGGAUGCUUGAUUGAACCGCAUGGUUCAAUCAUAAAAGGUGGCUUUUAGCUACCACUUACAGAUGGACCCGCGGCGCAUUAGCUAGUUGGUGAGGUAACGGCUCACCAAGGCGACGAUGCGUAGCCGACCUGAGAGGGUGAUCGGCCACACUGGGACUGAGACACGGCCCAGACUCCUACGGGAGGCAGCAGUAGGGAAUCUUCCGCAAUGGACGAAAGUCUGACGGAGCAACGCCGCGUGAGUGAUGAAGGUUUUCGGAUCGUAAAACUCUGUUGUUAGGGAAGAACAAGUACCGUUCGAAUAGGGCGGCACCUUGACGGUACCUAACCAGAAAGCCACGGCUAACUACGUGCCAGCAGCCGCGGUAAUACGUAGGUGGCAAGCGUUGUCCGGAAUUAUUGGGCGUAAAGCGCGCGCAGGCGGUUUCUUAAGUCUGAUGUGAAAGCCCCCGGCUCAACCGGGGAGGGUCAUUGGAAACUGGGGGAACUUGAGUGCAGAAGAGGAGAGUGGAAUUCCACGUGUAGCGGUGAAAUGCGU
rnacentral:rRNA from 1 species